rnacentral:rRNA from 1 species
UGACAGUACUCCUACGGGGAGGCAGCAGUGGGGGAAUAUUGCACAAUGGGCGCAAGCCUGAUGCAGCCAUGCCGCGUGUGUGAAGAAGGACCUUCGGGUUGUAAAGCACUUUCAGUCGUGAGGAAGGUAGUGUAGUUAAUAGCUGCAUUAUUUGACGUUAGCGACAGAAGAAGCACCGGCUAACUCCGUGCCAGCAGCCGCGGUAAUACGGAGGGUGCGAGCGUUAAUCGGAAUUACUGGGCGUAAAGCGCAUGCAGGUGGUUUGUUAAGUCAGAUGUGAAAGACCCGGGGCUCAACCUCGGAAUAGCAUUUGAAACUGGCAGACUAGAGUACUGUAGAGGGGGGUAGGAAUUUCAGGUGUAGCGGUGAAAUGCGUAGAGAUCUGAAGGAAUACCGGUGGCGAAGGCGGCCCCCUCGGACAGAUACUGACACUCAGAUGCGAAAGCGUGGGGAGCAAACAGGAUUAGAUACCCUGGUAG